rnacentral:rRNA from 1 species
AGCAUGUGGUUUAAUUCGAAGCAACGCGAAAGAACCUUACCAGGUCUUGACAUCCCGAUGCUAUUUCUAGAGAUAGAAAGUUACUUCGGUACAUCGGUGACAGGUGGUGCAUGGUUGUCGUCAGCUCGUGUCGUGAGAUGUUGGGUUAAGUCCCGCAACGAGCGCAACCCCUAUUGUUAGUUGCCAUCAUCCAGUUGGGCACUCUAGCGAGACUGCCGGUAAUAAACCGGAGGAAGGUGGGGAUGACGUCAAAUCAUCAUGCCCCUUAUGACCUGGGCUACACACGUGCUACAAUGGUUGGUACAACGAGUUGCGAGUCGGUGACGGCGAGCUAAUCUCUUAAAGCCAAUCUCAGUUCGGAUUGUAGGCUGCAACUCGCCUACAUGAAGUCGGAAUCGCUAGUAAUCGCGGAUCAGCACGCCCGCGGUCGAAUACGUUCCGGCCUU